rnacentral:rRNA from 1 species
GGAGCGCGGUCGUGCGCGCGCAUAGUACUGAUGGACGGUGAGUAAAUGUGGGAAUCUGCCUUUUGGUUUGGAAUAACACGGGGAAACUUGUGCUAAUACCAAAUAACCUUUACGGGAAAGUUUUAAUGCCGAAAGAUGAGCCUGACUUGAUUAGCUAGUUGGUAAGGUAAAAGCUUACCAAGGCAACAUCAAAGCUGUUCUUAGAGGAAGACCCCUUGGGACUGAGACACGGCCCAACUCUACGGGAGGCAGCAGGGGGAAUCUUGCACAAGGGGAAACCCUGAUGCAGCGAUCCGCGUGAGUGAAAAGGCUGGGUUGAAAUCUUUCGUCGGGAAAAAAUGACUGUACCCGAAUAAAAGGUCCGGUAACUUCGGCCAGCAGCCGCGGUAAUACGAAGGGACCUAGCGUAUUCGGAAUUACUGGGCUUAAAGAGCUCGUAGGUGGUAAAAAAGUUGAUGGUGAAAUCCCAAGGCUCAACCUUGGAACUGCCAUCAAAAUUUUUAGCUAGAGUGUGAUAGAGGUAAGUGGAAUUUCUAGUGUAGAGGUGAAAUUCGUAGAUAUUAGAAAGAACACCAAUGCGAAGGCAACUUACUGGGUCACUACUGACACUGAGGAGCGAAAGCAUGGGUAGCGAAGAGGAUUAGAUACCCUCGUAGUCCAUGCCGUAAACGAUGUGUGCUAGACGUUGGAAAUAUAUUUUUCGUGUCCAGCGAAAGCAUUAGCACACCGCCUGGGAGUACGACCGCAAGGUUAAAACUCAAUGAAUUGACGGGACCCGCACAAGCAGUGGAGAUGUGGUUUAAUUCAAGAUACGCGCAGAACCUUACCAACAUUGACAUGUUCGUCGCGAAACUAAGAGAUUAGUUUUUUCAGUCGGCUGGACGAACACAGUGCUGCAUGGCUGUCGUCAGCUCGUGUCGUGAGAUGUUGUAAGUCCCGCAACGAGCGCAACCCCUACUUUUAGUGCCACCUUUAGUACUUAGAACUCUAUAGCUGGAGAGGGGAGACGCAGUCUUGUAUUGGACCCACAGCUUAGCAAA